AUGGUUGUCGACAGCUUUCUCCUUAUCUCCAGCCUCCUUCUGGUGGCUGGGGUGACUCUGCUCACCACUUCCUGGCGCCGGCAGGGUUCUGACCGGCGCCGGCAAUGGUGGGGAUUGUGGCAGCAUGUGGUAGCACUGAUGUCAGGUGCUGAGAGUCAGGCAGGCAGGCACAGGAGCCGCCUGUGCAGGCCACGUGGCUCCCGGCUCCAAGCAUCACGAAGGCAGGGCAGUCCUAUCGUGCCCCAUCUCAUCCAGCCAGGGAAGACCCGGCCUUGGUUGCCAGGCAGUCCUUGCUCCUCUCUUUUCAUGAACACUGGUACUGCGAACUCCAUGGGGAAACCCGGCAGGCUUCCUGGACUGGACCAGCGCCCACAGCUUCUGGUGGCACAUGGGACCCCCAGGUCUCUCCAUCACCGUUCAAGGCCUGGCAGUGGAUUUAAAGACCUGCCACCUGAGAUCUCCAACUGCACAAAGCCACCGGUGAAGGGGAUGAUCUUUCAGGAGGGCCUUGUUCAAACAGAAGAGAGAAAACGCUGGUGGGAAUACAAGACCAAGAGGCCUGUUUGGCCUAUGCGCCCCUCAGCGCUUCCUAAAGGGCACAAGGAAGCAGGAGCAGCAGCAAGAUCAUCCCAGGGACCAGCCUUGAGCCUGGAGAAAAAAGCAGGCAGCAAAACUGAAACCUGCCAGCCCUCCAACUCUGGCUUCAUUGACAAGAGAAGCUCAGAGAAAUCAGACAGGCUUGCUAUGGAAAGGCUGUACCAGCAGCUCCUGGUGUCCCUGAAAAGGCCCAAGACUAACAACGAUGGUCAACAACAAGUCGGACAGCGGAACUGAAGAUCAACCUCCUGGCACCUCUUCCUGCACACUGCCACCAGUGGAGGAGUUGAUGGUGCAUGAGAACAUCCUUCGAACAGAGGAAUCUCAGCCCUAGGAACAUCACUUGCAUAACACAGUUUCAGUCUGAGGUCUUUCAGAUUUCUAAAAAGAUAAUUUAAUUAAAUUCAUGCUAGUCUUCAGACAAUUGCUAUCCUUCUUCCUU
ensembl:lncRNA uncharacterized LOC107311911